rnacentral:rRNA from 1 species
UACAGAGGUCCCAAGCGUUGUUCGGAUUCACUGGGCGUAAAGGGCGCGUAGGCGGUCAGCACAAGUCAGUUGUGAAAUCUCCGGGCUUAACUCGGAAAGGUCAACUGAUACUGUGCGACUAGAGUGCGGAAGGGGCAACUGGAAUUCUCGGUGUAGCGGUGAAAUGCGUAGAUAUCGAGAGGAACACCUGCGGCGAAGGCGGGUUGCUGGGCCGACACUGACGCUGGAUGCGCGAAAGCCAGGGGAGCGAACGGG